rnacentral:rRNA from 1 species
UACGGAAGAUCCGAGCGUUAUCCGGAAUUACUGGGCGUAAAGCGCACGUAGGCGGCUUUCUAAGUCGGGGGUGAAAUCCUGGAGCUCAACUCCAGAACUGCCUUCGAUACUGGAGAGCUUGAGUCCGGGAGAGGUGAGUGGAACUGCGAGUGUAGAGGUGAAAUUCGUAGAUAUUCGCAAGAACACCAGUGGCGAAGGCGGCUCACUGGCCCGGUACUGACGCUGAGGUGCGAAAGCGUGGGGAGCAAACAGG